rnacentral:rRNA from 1 species
AAACUUAAAGGAAGUUGACGGGGAGCACCACAACGGGUGGAGCUUGCGGUUUAAUUGGAUUCAACGCCGGAAAUCUUACCGGGACCGACAGCAAUAUGAAGGCCAGGCUGAAGACUUUGCCGGAUUAGCUGAGAGGUGGUGCAUGGCCGUCGUCAGUUCGUACUGUGAAGCAUCCUGUUAAGUCAGGCAACGAGCGAGACCCACGCCCACAGUUGCCAGCGUACUCUCUGGAGUGACGGGUACACUGUGGGGACCGCCGCUGCUAAAGCGGAGGAAGGAAUGGGCAACGGUAGGUCAGUAUGCCCCGAAUAUCCCGGGCUACACGCGAGCUACAAUGGUUGGUACAAUGGGUAUCUACCCCGAAAGGGGACGGGAAUCUCCUAAAACCAAUCUUAGUUCGGAUUGAGGGCUGCAACUCGCCCUCAUGAAGCUGGAAUCCGUAGUAAUCGCGUUUCAACAGAACGCGGUGAAUACGUCCCUGCUCCUU